UACGGAGGAUCCAAGCGUUAUCCGGAAUCAUUGGGUUUAAAGGGUCCGUAGGCGGACUAAUAAGUCAGUGGUGAAAGUCUGCAGCUCAACUGUAGAAUUGCCAUUGAUACUGUUAGUCUUGAGUCAUUAUGAAGUGGUUAGAAUGAGUGGUGUAGCGGUGAAAUGCAUAGAUAUCACUCAGAAUACCGAUUGCGAAGGCAGAUCACUAAUAAUGUACUGACGCUGAUGGACGAAAGCGUAGGUAGCGAAC
rnacentral:rRNA from 1 species